rnacentral:tRNA from 7 species
ACAUAUGUGGUGUAGUGGUAGCUACUCUUGGCCUUUGCUUAAGAGGUCUCGGGUUCAAAUCCCCUUAAGGA